rnacentral:ncRNA from 1 species
AUAAAAGCAAUGAAGAGAAGAGUAAAUAAUUUGAUUUUUCCUCAGAGAGCUAGGUAAGGUGAAAGCUAGCGUCUAAUUAAUUAUUGAACAUGGCCUCGGAGCUUCUUAUCUGAACUAAUUUAGGAUAAGACGGAUGGACUCGUUAACAGUCCACUAAGAUAUUCAGUUUGUCUGGAUAAUUAGGGUGGUAACGCGAAUAUAACUCGCCCCUAUG